GCCUGCGGAAGGAUCAUUACAGAAUGAAAAGUGCUUAACUGCAUUUUUUCUUACACAUGUGUUUUUCUUUUUUUGAAAACUUUGCUUUGGUAGGCCUUCUAUAUGGGGCCUGCCAGAGAUUAAACUCAACCAAAUUUUAUUUAAUGUCAACCGAUUAUUUAAUAGUCAAAACUUUCAACAACGGAUCUCUUGGUUCUCGCAUCGAUGAAGAACGCAGCGAAAUGCGAUAAGUAAUAUGAAUUGCAGAUAUUCGUGAAUCAUCGAAUCUUUGAACGCACAUUGCGCCCUUUGGUAUUCCAAAGGGCAUGCCUGUUUGAGCGUCAUUUCUCCCUCAAACCCUCGGGUUUGGUGUUGAGCGAUACGCUGGGUUUGCUUGAAAGAAAGGCGGAGUAUAAACUAAUGGAUAGGUUUUUUCCACUCAUUGGUACAAACUCCAAAACUUCUUCCAAAUUCGACCUCAAAUCAGGUAGGACUACCCGCUGAACUUAAGCAUAUCAAUAGCCCGGAGGAAAACA
rnacentral:rRNA from 1 species